CUGAGGUUGCCGGGGGGAGAGACAGCGGAGCUAAUGACUGCCCUAACAGAUUCAUUCACCAUUAGCAGAGCAGUUAGGCAGCCUCAGGAGCAGUUUGCUACCGUAUGAAAUAGGUAGCGUCAAAUGUUUGUGCAUGUGGAUUGGGAAAUACUCUGUAUGAGGGAAACAGAAGGGCCAAUGAUAUCCUGCCAAAACCCACUCUUUUUUCUGGAUCUAAAUGGCCCAAACUCUUUAUUAUCAUUCAUGUUAAGUGUGUCAUCAAUACACUAGCAGGUCAUAACAUGCUGUUUUAUAGUGUUACUGCUCAGGUCCCACUAGAAUUAAACUGCCCUAAGUAUAAAAUAUAUGAAGUUUCCAAACUUAAGGCAAACCUCCAGCACCUAAGCAAUUCCAGAUUUUCUGCCCUGCAACCUACUGGAUUGCAAAGCAGGCCAUGUGGACCAGGGAGCCUGAAUCAGUCCUCCGGGGUUGGGCCAGGCCUUGGCAGGAAACACAGACAGAGGGAGAUGCAUGAUAGUCCAGUUGAAACUCAAAAAUACCCCACAGAAACUUCUGUGCUCUUGCAACACUUCUGUGUCUCAACAGCAGUCUUGAUGCUCAGCAAUGUGGCUGUGGGUAGGAAUUGAAUGAAAAAUAACAGCAGGUACUCAGUAGGCCACCUUCUCAUGAGAUACUAUCAAUUCUCACUGCCUUUCCUGUUUCUGCUAAGGAGCACUCACUACUGUGACACCUGCAGACAGCAGGGUACGAAACCAGGAACCUGUUCCGCUGGAUUUCUUCACAUCCAGCCCCUCCCCCGCAGGCCGUGGCCUGGCAGCAAUGCCAGCCAGUCGUUUCAGGCACGCUCCCAAGCACGUGAGGAGGGUGGAGCUCCAGUCUCUGGGCUUCAGCAUGGAAAACAGGGGCAUCCGGAGGGCACAGCGCUGAACCAGGGCCGACCACCUCACUAUGCCUUCGGCAGGAAAAGCCAGCGUGCUCAUUAAUCUGCAGUAGUGCAGAGCUCAGCUCUCCUGUCCGUCUGCACCAGUCACACUCGCUGCCUUUGUAAUCUCACUUCUUAGCAGUGCAUUUCAACAUGGGCAUCCCUGCCGUGUCAGUUCAUAAUCCCAAACUGAACACAGGGGGAUUGCCACAAAGCAGAAGCACUGUGGUCCUUUGUGCUGUGAACAGCUACGCUGACACGUUCUUCGCAUGCCUUUUUCAAAUCUGUUAACCCAGGCACUCUACCACUCCCAAGUCCUGAGAGAGAUCUAUCAUUUGAAAAACAUGACUACUUUUGAUGCUUGACUAAAUUUCCCUAAUGUAUAUAUAUAUAUAUAUAUAUAUAUACACAUUAGGGAAAUAUAUUCAGAAAAUAAAGAAAUGCUAAGUCUAAAGCGUCACUAUAAAUUAGAAUUUAAUAUAAUUCAGACUGGUGGAGUCAGGGGUUUAGCAAGUGGUUUGGUGAUGCCAUUCAGAAUUUGGUUCUUUAUCAGUAUACAUUUGCUGAAGAAUAAUCCCAUUUAUCACUCUACUGUACAUCUCUUUAUAUCUGUUUUGUCCUGUUAUGAAGGUAAUUUGGGGAUUGUAUUGUCAUUACUGCAUUUCAGUGGCUAGGAGUGAGAGAAAAGGGGCAAUGGAUAAUGUUAUAGAUACAUAGGAUCAAAUGUCAUUGGUUAUUAUCUGUUGUGGUCCAGUAAAUGCAUUGAAGGGGUUUAGGUUAUAAAUAGAAGCUUUUUGCCCUAUGGCUGCUUUUCUGUUUCUGUUUGUGAGGUUGUGUCAGCAAUGCUGACCCUUGUGUCGUACCAGACGGGAGGGAGAGGGCUUGAGUAAUUAGCACUUCAGCUGGUGGGAUAUGAAGUUCUCAGUUAAAAAAAUAUAAUUUAUUUUGUUGUGAUCAAUUUACUGUUACUUACCUUGUUUGCAAAUAUCAUGGCAGUGAAAGCUCUAUCAGGGGAAUAUUUCACAAAGCGGGGUCAUUAAUCGGGAUACAGUGUUUCCUUUACCACACUGAAAAUGAAUGCCUUUCUGAUCCUGCGAUACUCUGGUUUCCACAGGGUCAUAACAGAGCAGAAAACUCCAGGGCAGCUCACAGAACCACAUUUUUCUCUCACCUGUUUCAACAGCGACCUCACAGGAGAUGCUGGAUGCAUUUCACAGAACACCAGAGGGUAUGCUUAGGUUCAGUUUGUAGUAUGGGUGGGGUCCUUGGAAUGAAAGCUACACAACCAGAUCUAAUCAGGAACAUCCAUGCAAAAAGAGCUCCCCAAAAUGGGAUAAGCAGUCUGCUUGUGAAGAAAUGGUGCAUAACUCCUAGUCUCCUGAACACAGCUGUCAGGAAUUAUGACUGCACUGAAAUAAUAACGGCAUGUCACAGUUUUCAUUCAGGAAACAGAGUGUUUUGCAUUUAUUUUAGCAGCCCUGAAGUGUUUUGUAACAUAACAAACCUGUUUGCAAGUGUCACCUUUCAUGGAACUCCUUCCAAUCCCCUCCUUUUCCAAGCUGUAAUCCUUCAUUUUUCAUAUUAAAAAUGACAUAUUUGA